rnacentral:rRNA from 1 species
UACGAAGGGGGCUAGCGUUGUUCGGAAUUACUGGGCGUAAAGCGUGCGCAGACGGUUGCGUAAGUCAGAUGUGAAAGCCCCGGGCUCAACCUGGGAAUUGCAUUCGAGACUGCUCUGCUAGGGUGCGGAAGAGGGAAGCGGAAUUUCCGGUGUAGCGGUGAAAUGCGUAGAUAUCGGAAGGAACACCAGUGGCGAAAGCGGCUUCCUGGUCCAGCACCGACGUUCAGGCACGAAAGCGUGGGGAGCAAACAGG